rnacentral:rRNA from 1 species
CCUACGGGGGGCAGCAGUGGGGAAUAUUGCACAAUGGGCGCAAGCCUGAUGCAGCCAUGCCGCGUGUGUGAAGAAGGCCUUCGGGUUGUAAAGCACUUUCAGCGGGGAGGAAGGCGGUGAGGUUAAUAACCUCAUCGAUUGACGUUACCCGCAGAAGAAGCACCGGCUAACUCCGUGCCAGCAGCCGCGGUAAUACGGAGGGUGCAAGCGUUAAUCGGAAUUACUGGGCGUAAAGCGCACGCAGGCGGUCUGUCAAGUCGGAUGUGAAAUCCCCGGGCUCAACCUGGGAACUGCAUUCGAAACUGGCAGGCUAGAGUCUUGUAGAGGGGGGUAGAAUUCCAGGUGUAGCGGUGAAAUGCGUAGAGAUCUGGAGGAAUACCGGUGGCGAAGGCGGCCCCCUGGACAAAGACUGACGCUCAGGUGCGAAAGCGUGGGGAGCAAACAGGAUUAAAUACCCCAGUAGUC